GACUGGUCUGAAGUUAGUGAGUCAUUUUCAGUCAAUGUGCACAGUCUGUUACAGGUUAACUUGAACUCCUGUUCUACACUGUCCCUCUCCUCAGUGCUACACUUGACUCGUCUCAA
ensembl:misc_RNA Y_RNA Y RNA